rnacentral:rRNA from 1 species
UACGGGGGGAGCAAGCGUUGUUCGGGUUUACUGGGCGUAAAGGGCGCGUAGGCGGUCAGCACAAGUCAGUUGUGAAAUCUCCGGGCUUAACUCGGAAAGGUCAACUGAUACUGUGCGACUAGAGUGCGGAAGGGGCAACUGGAAUUCUCGGUGUAGCGGUGAAAUGCGUAGAUAUCGAGAGGAACACCUGCGGCGAAGGCGGGUUUCUGGGCCCUACCUGACGCUGAGACGCGAAAGCGUGGGGAGCGAACCGG